GAUGAACGCUGGCGGCGCGCCUAACACAUGCAAGUCGAACGGCACCUGCCUUCGGGCAGAAGCGAGUGGCGAACGGCUGAGUAACACGUGGAGAACCUGCCCCCUCCCCCGGGAUAGCCGCCCGAAAGGACGGGUAAUACCGGAUACCCCGGGGUGCCGCAUGGCACCCCGGCUAAAGCCCCGACGGGAGGGGAUGGCUCCGCGGCCCAUCAGGUAGACGGCGGGGUGACGGCCCACCGUGCCGACAACGGGUAGCCGGGUUGAGAGACCGACCGGCCAGAUUGGGACUGAGACACGGCCCAGACUCCUACGGGAGGCAGCAGUGGGGAAUCUUGCGCAAUGGGGGGAACCCUGACGCAGCGACGCCGCGUGCGGGACGGAGGCCUUCGGGUCGUAAACCGCUUUCAGCAGGGAAGAGUCAAGACUGUACCUGCAGAAGAAGCCCCGGCUAACUACGUGCCAGCAGCCGCGGUAAUACGUAGGGGGCGAGCGUUAUCCGGAUUCAUUGGGCGUAAAGCGCGCGUAGGCGGCCCGGCAGGCCGGGGGUCGAAGCGGGGGGCUCAACCCCCCGAAGCCCCCCGGAACCUCCGCGGCUUGGGUCCGGUAGGGGAGGGUGGAACACCCGGUGUAGCGGUAGAAUGCGCAGAUAUCGGGUGGAACACCGGUGGCGAAGGCGGCCGUCUGGGCCGAGACCGACGCUGAGGCGCGAAAGCUGGGGGAGCGAACAGGAUUAGAUACCCUGGUAGUCCCAGCCGUAAACGAUGGACGCUAGGUGUGGGGGGACGAUCCCCCCGUGCCGCAGCCAACGCAUUAAGCGUCCCGCCUGGGGAGUACGGCCGCAAGGCUAAAACUCAAAGGAAUUGACGGGGGCCCGCACAAGCAGCGGAGCAUGUGGCUUAAUUCGAAGCAACGCGAAGAACCUUACCAGGGCUUGACAUAUGGGUGAAGCGGGGGAGACCCCGUGGCCGAGAGGAGCCCAUACAGGUGGUGCAUGGCUGUCGUCAGCUCGUGUCGUGAGAUGUUGGGUUAAGUCCCGCAACGAGCGCAACCCCCGCCGCGUGUUGCCAUCGGGUGAUGCCGGGAACCCACGCGGGACCGCCGCCGUCAAGGCGGAGGAGGGCGGGGACGACGUCAAGUCAUCAUGCCCCUUAUGCCCUGGGCUGCACACGUGCUACAAUGGCCGGUACAGAGGGAUGCCACCCCGCGAGGGGGAGCGGAUCCCGGAAAGCCGGCCCCAGUUCGGAUUGGGGGCUGCAACCCGCCCCCAUGAAGUCGGAGUUGCUAGUAAUCGCGGAUCAGCAUGCCGCGGUGAAUGCGUUCCCGGGCCU
rnacentral:rRNA from 1 species